rnacentral:rRNA from 1 species
UGGGGAAUAUUGGACAAUGGGCGCAAGCCUGAUCCAGCCAUGCCGCGUGAGUGAUGAAGGCCCUAGGGUUGUAAAGCUCUUUCACCGGUGAAGAUAAUGACGGUAACCGGAGAAGAAGCCCCGGCUAACUUCGUGCCAGCAGCCGCGGUAAUACGAAGGGGGCUAGCGUUGUUCGGAUUUACUGGGCGUAAAGCGCACGUAGGCGGACGUUUAAGUCAGGGGUGAAAUCCCGGGGCUCAACCCCGGAACUGCCUUUGAUACUGGAAGUCUUGAGUAUGGUAGAGGUGAGUGGACUUCCGAGUGUGGAGGUGAAAUUCGUAGAUAUUCGGAGGUACACCAGUGGCGAAGGCGGCUCACUGGACCAUUACUGACGCUGAGGUGCGAAAGCGUGGAGAGCAAACAGG